ACUAGCGCGAAAAUCCUAGGUUGGUUUCUAGACUGAAGGAGAAAUGUUGAAGAUUUUUUUUGUAGGCGGGGGGGGGGGGGGGGGGCGGUAAAUUCCAGUGACCGAAAAGAUGUAUUGAUAUACACCGUAAUUAUAGCCACCCCCCAUUCAGAGUUCCUCAACCCAUGCCCGGGUUGCGGGGGUGGGUGAAGAUCCAGAGCCACUUUCAAGCAAGGAAAUCGACUUAAUGCAACAGACAAGCAGGUUACAGGUGAGUUACAGUCUGGCCGAUCGGGCGAAAGGCAGACGGCAGACUACCGGAUUGGUCGCCGGUCAGUCACAGGCACAGGUCAUUUCUAUUCUCCAAUCACACCAUCAAUCACCGAGGCUGAACUGAAUCCAGGCUGCUUGCACCGAGUCACUCCACAAAUUUGUAACAUUCUUAAUUGUCAUCCGAGGGUAGAAAAAAAAAGAA